UACCCCUCUAGGGUCUCUGGGGACUUACCCACAGGCCGGGUCAAGUGGUGCCCAACGUGGGACCCGAGAACAGGGGACUUAAUGAAGGAUGCUGUUCAUGGGCCCAAAGUAGAAAAUGGAAAAGAAAAUAGAGGACUGAUGUGGGAGCCUGCCAUGCCGCUGAACCUCGAAUUUUAGAAGUAUCAUCACAGCAGCUUUCUGGGACACAGCAUGAUGUUUUGGUUGCCAAAGAUUGGGAGAUCCUUAAAAUUAUGUACAAAUUGUGUUCAAUGAUAUAACCAGCAUGUGAUGGUGGGCUCAGUCUGGAUUGUAUAUCAUUCAUUGCCUGUGGUCAUAACUCUCAAGAACCUGGGGAUUCUAUUCUGGUGUUGAAAUUGGAAUGCUUCCAGCCGUCUGCAAAGUACAAAGAAUACAUUCUGUGGCUGAGGCAGAGUUUAUAGAUAGAGACCCACUCUUCAUUCUCCUGGAAGAUCUGCUGCCUCUGGAGAACAAAAGACCCAGUCCAAGGUGGAUCCUCACAAAUGGUCCUUGGACACAGGAAGCCCAAGUCACCCACUAGGGAGCAGCUAAUUGGCUAGACCAGUCUUGGAAUGAAUUAAACUGCUGGUUGGCAGGUGGGGUACAUUGUAAUGCACUACAUCCGGUAUGCAUUGUAAUUUGUUUUUAAUUACUGUGUUUGUCUGGAAAAGGCUGUAAGGUCUACUCAUUGCUCAUAUUGCUAUGCUAAUUGACUGGAGAUUUACACACACGGUUUUACACAGUGUCCUUUGAUUGCCUGUGGUGAUUUGAAUAAAAUGGUAUUUAUUCAAUUUUUCUAAAACUUUAAGUUUUAAUAUCUUGAGUAAA